GACGAACGCUGGCGGCGUGCCUAAUACAUGCAAGUAGAACGCUGAAGAGAGGAGCUUGCUCUUCUUGGAUGAGUUGCGAACGGGUGAGUAACGCGUAGGUAACCUGCCUUGUAGCGGGGGAUAACUAUUGGAAACGAUAGCUAAUACCGCAUAACAAUGGAUGACACAUGUCAUUUAUUUGAAAGGGGCAAUUGCUCCACUACAAGAUGGACCUGCGUUGUAUUAGCUAGUAGGUGAGGUAAUGGCUCACCUAGGCGACGAUACAUAGCCGACCUGAGCGGGGGAUCGGCCCCCCUGGGACUGGAACAGCGCCCAGACUCCUACGGGAGGCAGCAGUAGGGAAUCUUCGGCAAUGGGGGCAACCCUGACCGAGCAACGCCGCGUGAGUGAAGAAGGUUUUCGGAUCGUGAAGCUCUGUUGUAAGUCAAGAACGGGUGUGAGAGUGGAAAGUUCACACUGUGACGGUAGCUUAACAGAAAGGGACGGCUAACUACGUG
rnacentral:rRNA from 1 species